rnacentral:rRNA from 1 species
CCCGUUCUGAAACACGGACCAAGGAGUCUAGAUACCGCGCGAGUCAAAGGGUUGGCUAAACCCCAAGGCGAAACGAAAGUGAUUUCGAUAGGGCCGAUCCGGUUCGCGCGGGAAGGCUGAGGGGUCAAUGGGGCACGAGGCCGGCGACGUCGGUAGGGGUUUAACGGCCUCUCCGUCGUCGUCUUACUCAUCCCAACUCCCCACAGUUCCUCCCCCACGAUUUGUCUCCCUAAUAUGAGGACCGGCGCAGGCCCGGGGCUCGCCAAUGCUUCCUCCCCGCC